AACGAACGCUGGCGGCAGGCUUAACACAUGCAAGUCGAACGAGAUCUUCGGAUCUAGUGGCAGACGGGUGAGGAACACGUGGGAACAUCCCUUUCAGUUCGGAAUAACGUUGGGAAACUAACGCUAAUACCGGAUACGUCCUUCGGGAGAAAGAUCUAUCGCUCAAGGAUUGGCCCGCGUCUGAUUAGCUAGUUGGUGAGGUAACGGCUCACCAAGGCGACAAUCAGUAGCUGGUCUGAGAGGAUGAUCAGCCACACUGGGACUGAGACACGGCCCAGACUCCUACGGGAGGCAGCAGUAAGGAAUAUUGGACAAUGGAGGAAACUCUGAUCCAGCCAUGCCGCGUGAGUGAAGAAGGCCUUAGGGUUGUAAAGCUCUUUCAAUGGUGAAGAUAAUGACGGUAGCCAUAGAAGAAGCCCCGGCUAAAUUCGUGCCAGCCGCCGCCGUAA
rnacentral:rRNA from 1 species